UACGUAGGGUCCGAGCGUUGUCCGGAAUUAUUGGGCGUAAAGAGCUCGUAGGCGGUCUGUCGCGUCUGCUGUGAAAACUCAGGGCUUAACCCUGAGCUUGCAGUGGGUACGGGCAGACUAGAGUGCGGUAGGGGAGACUGGAAUUCCUGGUGUAGCGGUGAAAUGCGCAGAUAUCAGGAGGAACACCGGUGGCGAAGGCGGGUCUCUGGGCCGUAAGCUGACGC
rnacentral:rRNA from 1 species